rnacentral:lncRNA from 1 species
GGGGCGACUCUUACCCGGAGGCUGCCGAGCAGGAGGCGGCGGUCGGCCAGGGCGGCUGCAGUAAUCCAUUGGGCGCUGCCGGGCUACGCACACUCGGGGCGGCAGGGAUCCGCUCGUGUUGGGGAAGGAGUCGCGUCGGAACCGCGCGGCUGCAGUCACCCGGAGCAGGCCGGCCGCUCCCGGCGAGCGUUGUCGGCGCCGGCGGGGGCCUCCGAGCCCAGGGCUAUUUCCGGGCUCUCCCGCCCGCUGGGCUCCCCACCGGCUCCGGAGGCGGCAGCGGCGCGGCCCGAGCGAAGCGGCGGUGGGGCCACGUUGGGCGCCGGGCGGGAGCGGAGGCCGCCGCGGACCCCGCAAUCCCGCAGCCGGCGACUGGAUCCCACCUCUGCAGAGACAAAGGUUAGAAAAAGAGGGGGUGAGGCUCCAGGAAGGCAGAAUGCGGGGGGAAAUUCGCCUGGGAAAUCAGGAAAAAGGCCGUGAAGGCGAGCGGCGCCUGCACAUGACCAGCCGCAGCCAAUGACGACCGCAAAUAGGUCAUAAAAAGGUCUAUUACCAAGUUGUAAAUUUUCUUCAAACAAAAAGGAAUUUGCUGCAAUUCCUUGCGGAUUUUGCACAUACAGCUCGCAAGCGCCAUGUUUUUUCCUCUCUUUCUCUCCCCGCUCUCUUCUGUUCUCUCUCUUCCUCCUCCUUUUCCUUCCUUCCUCCUCUCCUCUUUCUUCCUCUCUGCUCCCCUCUGUUGUCUCUGCGUCUCUUGCCUCCAUGGGUCCUGACUCUCACCUCUUCUAGGAAGUAUUUCUUUUGCUCUUUUUUGAUUUGGCUCGAAACCUCUGCUGAAUAGGGCGUUGUGUUAGAGGGGAAAUGAAUGCGGUGUACUGCCCAGGCGCUCGGGGAGUUGAUCCUGGCAGUCACCCCCCUCUGACUCUCCUUGCGCGGGUCACUUGGCUUCUCCUCCCCUCCCCUCGCAGAAAGGCCCGCUCCGGAGCGGCAGCCAAGCACUUUCGGUUUUUGCCCCUCUCAUCUAUCUGCAGGCAAGCCAGCCCCCCCAGCGAUCUUGCGCAGAAAACCUGGGCUCUGCAGGCCAAGAAAGCCCGCCGUCUCCUUUUCCCUCUCCAACAUAAAUUGGGGUCCCUCCCAUUUCUUUGGGUUUCUGGGGGUAGGAGAGGUACCAACCAGCUCAAAUCCUGGUGAUGGUUUUAGGUUACUUGUCAGGUUCUCCAAGAUAACAGUCUGAACUCCCAAUGCUUGGCAAUUGAUCUUGGCAGAAAUAUCCUCCUGGACAGUACCGGGUUAAAGGAGAAGCAGUCUUUCUGGAUCCCCUAUGAAACCCCUUGCUGUGUCUCCCCUAAGUGCACUUCUUAUUUCUAUGCAAUUUAAUUUCCCCCUCUUGCCUUGUCCCCAAAAUGUUUGACCAUUGGAAAGCCUGCGCAAUGCAACACUGAAGAGGAGAGGGGUUCCAUUUGUUCGGGAAAAGAGCUGAUCCCCAUUUCAACCUUGGGGGAAAAAAAUAGUCUUUUUUCUUCAAAGGCAGGAAUCACAUUCCUUUUGCACUUCUGAUAGGAGCUGCUGCAGAGAACACCAGCUGAAAGUAAAUGUCCUUGAGGUCCCCAGCAUUCUCCUCAUCAUUAAUGCAUUCAUAGGCAUGGCCAUCCAGGCUUCAGAACCUGUGUGAAAGAGGUAACCCAUCCCUCUAAGCUUUCAAGGACACUGUCUUUGAACUUCUAGUAAUGCAUUUAUAAAUAUUUUCAUUGGAUGUGUAUGUGUAGGUUCUCUGCUAUUAACAUCCUCACACCCAGUAAGUACCUCAGUGGACGUAGACCUAAGCAGGAAAUACAUAGCACCCUCUGGAGCAGGCCAUUUGUAUCCCUUGAAAAGGUUCCGAUGACCUUGGAUGUUUUUUAUUAAAGGAAUUCUGUUGCCAUCUGUCAGCAAAAGUCAUAUUCCUUCUAGAAACAGUGUGCUCUAGUUUUGCUGGAGGGAACCACAGCAGUAGCCAAAGUCCAUUAAAAUGUCCUCUGUAUUCCCCUGUCUACCCCCAGAUGCCGGAACAUUCAGCAAACACCAGGGAAGCAGAGGACACAAGCUUGGAUGUGAAAUAGCAACACCUUCUGCACUGAAGAAUAAUAAAACAAUGUUUUUAAUUACAAAAGAAAAUGUGUAAGAAAAGUGUAAAAAUACGUGGGGCAAGUUUUGGGGGCCCUUUCUAAGCUAGAACACUUUAUACUGGUCUGUACAUGUGGAACUGAACAGAGAUUGUUCACUUCUAAAAUAUUCUAAGAAAUAAUCUCAAUUGUCAGUUUCCUCCUGCCCGAAUAAAAGCGGAGCUUUGUUACCCUCCUUUUCAGCUUGGGGAAGGAGGGAUGGGAAAAAGACAUUGCAUUGUUGAAUAGGCAGCCAUAUUUGUACUUUUUCUCCUGUGCAGAGGUAAGCGGGUGUGCUGGGCUUUGUGGAACCUCACAAAAUGGCAGUCCCUGAACUGACUUUUCUCUAGAAACCAUUGAGACCCACACCCUCUUUUGUGUGUUCCUGGUUCUCAAAAACAGAGAACCUAAAUCAUUUCGAAGGCUUGGUUCUUUCAUUCAGUGUUAACAUUGGAGGGUCCUUUUCUCUGAACGGUUUACAGACCUCUCUAAGCAGACUCUAAGCAAUCCAGGGCUGAAAAGCAUCGUCUGGGUUUGCAAAGGAUUCUCUGAAGGUUUAUGCAAAUUUCUGCAGCAAAAAUGUUUGCUCGCUUUUUGCCGCACCCCUCGGAUGUUUACAGAUUUGAGCCAAUUAGAAGGGUAUCUUCUGUGCUCGGCUGCAUGAAAUACCAUGAUGGGGGGGAUUUCUAGCCACUGUAAGAAAGACAGUGGGGUGUGUGUGGGGGGGAGAGAGAGAGAGGAAGACAGAGAGAGACAGAUGUGUAACUCCUCAAACUCUUUAUUUGGAAGCAGAUCUAUGAUUUUCCCAGCUACAAAAAGAAACAUAUAUACCUACAUUUAUGACCAAUACUUUCUGCAAUAUGUAAUCCAUGUUUAUGUACAAAUACACCAAAUAUAUACCCCCAGAAUACCAAAUUUGUGUAUGUACAAAUACUCUCUAAUGCACCAAUUACUGCAACAGAGUUUUUUUCUGUACAAGAGCUACAAUUUUACUGUGGAUUUGGGGCCAAUGGGACAAGAAGGUACAACACUUCCAGAGCAACACAGAAUACGGAGGAAAUGAGGACAUUACUACUUCCCCUUCAUUCCUUCAUUCCCACAUCCAUUCACGUACCAGGUCUCCUACCUGAGUCUUGCCCCAAAUCAGUGACUCUAAAACUGGUUAUUUGGGGAAUAUUCUUGAGCAGGAGACGGCGAAUUUUGCUAACAGAGGAAUCCCCUAAAUGGAGGGCAACCGGAGUUUAGCCAGCGAGAAGCUCUAGCCAGCUUGCCACCACCACUGCCGCUGCUACCACCACCCCCACCACCGCCACCGCCCCCCACCCCCACCCCCACCCCCACAGGCUGUUCUCUAGCCACGCUUUCAGGCGCUUGGCACCCUUGCUCUGUAGAAGCCAACAGCAGAGUCUCAGGCGGCACACAGCAGAACGUUUCCAAAUCCAGCAUGGACAUUUGCAGCUGUCUCCUCUUGUGCAAAUGUUUCUUAAGCCGCAGGCCGCCCGUGACUUAAAAUUGUCUUUUCUGGCUCAGGUCAGCGAAUGCCACAGCUACGGCCUCUUCCCUGGAUGGAAAGCUAGGUGGUGCCUCACUUCUGGCCCCACCCAUGCCGACAUUUCCCCGGUCCUUGAAGUGGCAGGCAAAUAGCCCCCCAAUGCCUGAGGGGCUGAUUCAGGCCCAAAACAGAUUUCGGGUUUUUUUUUUUUUUUCACCUGUGCAAUAAAAACCACUUUGGAAAUCAAAAUGUACCUCCUUAAAAAUAAAAACAUCUAGAGAAAGCAAAGAACUCUUCAAUGUCUAUCUGAUGAGGUGCUGUCCGUUUGGGGGGCAGAAAUACUGGUACACUUGAAUUUCUCUUCUCCACUACCCCUCUUCCCCCUCCUCUUCCCUCAUAAAAUGGCAGCUGCAGGAGAAGCCUCCAAUGGAAAAUGGAUAUCUUGUUAAUAACACAUCCCAAACCCCAGCAUCAGCACAGGCUCAGCGGAAUAAGCUGUGGUGUAACCUGGACUCUGGGUCUUCCCCCACUGGGCCCACAACUCUGAAUCCUUUGCGAAGUUCAAAGCUUUCACAGUACCUUGGCAAGGUUAUUUACAGCAAGAGGAAGCUAGGAUAGCCUUGCCAGCCCUGUUUGGAAUGAAAAAGAGACCCCAUCCCCUGCAUUUAUUUAUUUAUCUUUAUAGCAGCGCAGUGCCUGUAAUCCCCACUACUUUUUUUUUUUUUUUAAAUCAAACAGAAGCUUUACAGCUUCUAGUGAGCCCAGGAGGUAUUUCCUGACUCAGGGAAAGGGUUAUGUGCGGCGCUCAAAGACACUAGCUCUAGAAAAAGAUUCAUUUCUUUAUUAAGGAGCUAGCUAUGUUCUGGAGCGGUUGUUUACACUCAAGAUUUUUCUGCAUUUGCUCUCGGGGCUUGUUUCAAUAGGUGAGGCCAUCCUGGAGAACAGCAGAGGACGUACCAACCGACAUCUGAGACGCACACAAGAUGGCUCAAAAUGGGCGUGCAAACAGAGCGAAGGGAAUACAAAUAAAUAUGGCACCUAUUCAGAGAAACGGAAUCACAGCAGCGGCCACAACACAGAGACCUAGCGAUUUCAGGCAAUGCCAAGCGCAGUUCAAAACGAAAGCAAGUUGAGAAAUGAGGGGCAUUCCACAAGGCGACUAGCCAGAGUGAAAAAUUAAUGAGUGAAAAUGUUAUAAUUGGCUUUUCAAGUAUUCAUUCACUCUAGAUGAUUAAAUUGCCAUAAUUUGUAUACACUAUGAAAAAUUAUCAAAUGUCAACUUUGACACUUUCCUGAAACUUUUCUCAUUGGCCCAACGUUUUCCCCAAGUUUAAGGAAGCUGCAGAGCCGAACUACACAUUACACUCUUCAGCUAACAUGUGCUUUUUCAAUAUUUGGCCCAGACUUUUCCCAGAGAUAUUACAUUUACAAAAUACCCAAAGAAACCUUUAAGGAGUAAACAAAAGGCACCCGAACCAUUCAUUAUAAAAGCAGAAAUAAAACAUAAAUAUGUUUUAAUAACAUAAAGUAAAUAUUCUGCAGGCAUAAUUCUUAAAAAAAUUAAUAGAUCUCUUUUAAUUUACUCACCAUAAAGAAAUGAUUUUAAGUGUUCAAGUGCACUUGUUUGAUUAAUAAAGCAUUUUAUAUUCAAUUAUUUAGUGCUAAUCAUUAGGAAGUUUAUGUUGUUGAGGCGAAUCACCAGCUCAGACAUUAAAAACUACCAUUAUAAAAAUAUAGCAACAAGGUCAGUAUCAAAUUACCCUUACAUAGGACAGCUCAAGGGCUGCUUCUAUUCGAUACUAGAAACUUUUUUUUUUUAACACCCAAGCCCCUCUCAAAGCGCAGAAACCUCAAGAGCAGUGACAUGAAGGUAGCUUGAAAUACAGGUAAAGUUCUUUCCAACAAAGAAAAUAGAUGGUGUCCAACAGCAUGUGUUGAUCAUUAGUUUUAAUAGUCUGUGGUAAAAAUUUAAAGGUAGAAGUUAAUUUGUCAGGCCUUCGGCUCUGUCUUCCUCCAGCUCUUGGGUUUCUUUUUUGGUUUCUCCAUCCUUUGCCUCCUGUCGGGAAACUGGGAAUUUGUCCUUGUUGUUCUCUUUUUUCCAUUUCAUUCUCCUGUUCUGGAACCAGAUUUUUACCUGUCUCUCCGUGAGGGCUAGGGCGUGGGAGACCUCAAUUCUUCUCUUCCUGGUCAGAUAAGGGUUAAAAAGGAAUUCUUUUUCCAGCUCUAGGGUUUGGAAACGACUGUAGGUUUGUCUUCCUCUUCGUCUACCAGGAGCUGCUGAUUAAAAUAAACCAAAAAAAAAAAAAGAGGAAAAUAAACGUUUUAGAAAUGAAAUGGUGCCUCUGCAGGUUGCUGGAGCUUUCUGGAACAGGUCUAAAGGAUGAAACAUACACAAGUCUUUUUAGCUCUGAUAUAUAUAGGAUAUGCAGGCAAGAGCAACAGAGGGAAGAUCUUCACAAUUACUGUCCCCAUCAUCUUUACGCGGUUUCUACUUUAAGGGGAAAAAAAAAGUAUUACUUUAUGAAUAAGAGCCACUAUAGCUACACAAGAAGGAAAAGGAGAGAGAGAGGAAAAGGUAGUUUUUAAAGCUAGAACGUGAGAUGAAAGCAGAUUUCUCCCCCUCUCCCCGCAUUAAAAAAAAAAAAAAUGCAUCCCAACCUUGUGGUCUCAUCCAGGGAAACAUUUGAGAAGGAGACGAGCUCUGAUUUAAGUGGUCUGGGUCCUCGCCAAUAUUACCACUGGACGAUUUACAGUCAGGAUAUUGUACCAGCUCGGCCUCUUGCUGGGUCGUAAAAAUCGGCUGUCUCUGUAAGUUAUCGUAUCCGUAAAACUUCGCGGGCUCCCCGUGACAGGCAAUCCCGCCGCAGGGGGGAGGCGGAGGCGGAGGAUGCGGAGGAGGAGGGGGGGCGGCCUGGUAGGCUGCGGCCGGGCUGCCCCCGCCGGGGUGGAAGUAGUCCUGGCCGGGGCCCGGGCCGCCCCCACCACCGCAACCCGGCCCGGCGGGCGGCGGUGACGGAUGCGGGUGCGGGUGCGCGUGCGCCUGCGGGGGCGCGUGCGGGAAGCCGGCGGCGCUGUUGCCAUAGAGCUGCAGGGCGGCGGCGGCGGCGGCGGCGGCGUGGCGGCUGCCGACCUCAGGCGCGAAGUGACAGUCGUAGUAAGUGGGAUUGAUGGCCUCGCCCGCCGCGGCCGCCGCCGCCGCGGCCGCCGCCUUGUACUUGGAGUACAGCGGGUUCACGAAGUAAGAGCUCAUCGGGGCGGCGGCGGCGGCGGCCAGGGGCCGAGGUAGGGCGGCCCCGGGCGGGCGGUGCGGAGCUGGCAGGGAGCGCGCCUCAGCGCGGCCGCACUGCCGCGGGGGCCUCUGGGGCGGCUGUUCCCGCCGCCGGGGCCGCCGGGCUACGUUGCUGCUGCCACCCGCCCGACUGCGCGCGCGUCGCCUCUGAGGCCCGGCAGCCGCGGGCACUUGGCUACUGGGCGUUCAUGCCCGGCUCUCGCGCCCGCCGACUCGGCCUCGCACCGCCUCCCUCGCGGGUCGCGGGGCCUCGCCCAGCCCCCGCGCUCACGCCCGCCCGGCCCUUCCCGGCGCGCGCCGGCUGGGCCACAAUAUAAUCGCCGACGCCCCGGGUGACCUGCCCCGCUGCCUCCACUGUUUCCUCUCAGGCACCAGGCGGCCCUGAGCGCACCGGGACAAGAAAAAAAAAAGUGCGCCCGGCCCACGGGGACACUCUUUGGCUUCGGUUUACAAACCCCCGCUCUGGAGGGAAGAGAAAAAAACACCCUCUACCCGCCGCCACCUCUCACCUCGGCCCCCCCGCGGCCCCCUCCCACCGCUCUCGCCGCCGCCGCCGAGGCUGCCGCCCCGGUGCGCCCCGGCGAGGCAUUUUCGCACCGCGCCACUGUGAGGAGAAGAUGGGGGCGAGAUAACCGCGCGGAGGGAUCCGCGCGGAGGCGACACCGUCGCUCCCGACGGGACGUCUCACGCUGGCCGGGAGAUGCCUCCGCCGGCCUUAAAGGGGGCCCAUAAAGCCGCACUGCCAAGGGCUCGUCUUGCCCCCCUGGGCCUGGGGAAAGCGGCCCGCGGCCGGCGAGGCGGGGGCGCGAGAGAACCUUACACUUGGGGGAGGCAGGGAGGCCACUCCCAAGAGGCUACAGGAGCAAAUGACUCCCUCCCUUGGCCCCUAGAGCAGCCCCCCAGAGGUUGGCCGUGGCUUUUGCACCUCAGGACACGCGGGCGCAGCCCAGGGAACAAGGGCAAACGGUGUAGACAGGCCGGACCGCGUACAGUUGGGUUGGGUCCUAAGUGGUUUGAUUAAAGGCCACAAGGGUGACCCCAAAACCUGGCAUUAUCAAAGCGAAUCUAGUCCCUUCUUUUCCAGGCGAGCAGGCCUUGUGGAAAUGAGAUGUACAUUUACCCUUGACGCACUGCACGCCUGGCUGAGGCUCCCAGGUUAAUUGAUAUUUAAUGGAAAUCAUGCCCAUGAAUAUAGUUUCCAUCAUUUCACCCUUGAUAGACGUCAGCAGUAGGCUCAGGGGGGAAGCUGAAGAAUGUGGGGGCGGGGGGGGGGGAAGCAGGCAUUAGCAUUGCUGAGGGAGUAAAUAGAAAAGCGGACAGAAAUGUUCCGAGGCGGGAAGGAGAACUCACGCUGGGGUGGGUGGUGUUUCCUCGGGCAGGACGCGCGGCUCCGGGGUCCCAGCCCCGGCACGGAGCGGACCAGGGCGGGCAGUGGCCCCGGGCGGAGCACAGGGGGCCGACGCCUGCAAGUGCCUCCCCCACCCCCCUCCCCCCAUCGAACCUCCGGGCCGGCUUUCGGAUCGCGCCGGUUCCAGGCAGCUGAAGGCGGCGCCCAUCGUCUGCUAACGAUUCUAGUCCAUCUGCCAAGCCUGUGAACUUUCUGCUGAGAGCGGGCGCUAGACUCAGCUUAAAAAGUUACUAACUUUUCCAAAAGCAAGGAAAGAGAAGGCUGAUCCUAGCUUGUGAGCGGUGAGGAAGAGAACCGUCCCGAGUCAUGUGGGCAAGUCCAGUGUGAAUCGGCAAAAUAUUCCUGAUUUUAGAAGCUCAGUCUAAUGCCGCUUGGCGUUACACCACCAACUAUCUUCUGACCUCCACAUCUCUUUUUUUCCCCUCUCUACUCCCGUUUUAAUGUCCAAUAAAUGUAAUGAGUCUAUGCUGAGGGAGUUUUCCCUCGCCUGCUCGGCCUUUUCCGUGGGUUCUUUGGGUGACGGACGAACCCUUUUCACUCAGGGUUAACCCAUUGUUGUGAGGGCACCAGGCCCACACCAGCCUUGGGAACCGACCUCCUCGGAAACACGCCCCGAGCCCACCGAGGACGCUCCGGCUAAAACUAAAACAGCACGCCGGCUUUUCACGCCAAAUACAAAUGUCUAAAAACCCGAGACGGCCCCCAAAAGCGCAGCAGGCGAGUCGUUUCAACUACCCCCUACUCGUGGGUUGGUCCAGUCUGGGAGUGCGAUCCUGAGGUCAGUCCUUGUGGACUGAAUCAUAUUUUGCAAAAGGACUGAAUCAUAUUUUGCAAAUGGAGAAAAUGAAGUCGAGAUGGAAAGGCAUAACAAGAUAGUAUGUAAUACUCAUUCAAUUGUUUCUACUGGGAAUGCCUGGAAAUGGUUAAGGUAAACGGAUUGUUAAUGAAUUUCCAGAUGAUAAGGGCAUGCUUUAUUUUUUAAAUUAGCAUGGAGUGGAGGAGACUGGGGGCGGGGAGGGGGGGUUGUUUUCUGCUGGAUAUCGCCAGGUAAAACUUCCUUGAGAUCCGAAGGCGAACAAAUAGAUUCUGAUAGUUAACGACUUGUACUCCAAUCUUGCAAAUACCCAGUUAAAAGAGAAGUAUUCUCAAUAAAGCCCUGGAACCAACUUUGUAAUUUUUUUUUUUUUAACUUCAAUGUUUGGCAUGUGUGUGUAUGCGUAUUAAAACUCUGGACCAGUGAGUGGGUUUUGGAAUAGAAUGGGGAAAAAGAAGAACGAGCCCAGAUGUCAAUUAUACAAGGCACCUUCCAGAACUGUGUGAUUUCGGGGUGGGGGGCGAAAAAGAAACACAAGCACUACGAAAUUCAUUUCUACAUGUUCUGGCCUAAUUAAGAUAACAUUACAAACUAACAUUUCCUCUUGGGACAAAACAGUUUCACCGCCCCCCCAAGCAUUCUAUUCAUAAUCUGAAUGGGAAAAGGGCACGAUUAACUUUGGAAAUAAAGAUCUAUGCUUCUACACGUUUGUUUUGAUAGAAUGCAUUAACUUAACCAUAACAUUUUAUAGUUUCAGCCGUGCCAGAGUCCAAAUUUUCUGAAAUCCUGACUAAUCCAAAAUUUUAUACCUAACAAAAACACGGCUGGAGAACUUAAUAGUGUACAUUGCUUAUUUUUGCUUAAGUUUAUCCUAAUUUGAAAUUAAAAAUAAGAUUGUAAAUAUAUUAAAUCAAAACCAUCCGCCGCCGCAACGCCAGCUUUACGAGAUCACAAAGUGGAGCAACAGCGCCCUCUAGUGGCAAAAUGCCGCCUCCAACUGACCGAGUUUAACUUCCCUUUAUUCGACUCAAAGCAGUUCUAAUCUUGUUCUUUAGUUUGACUGGGGCUUGGAUCGCUGACACUAAUAAUGCUUCAUCCCUUUGAUUGUCAACAAGUCAAGUGCAACAAGCUGGGGCUUCUGAACGCCAAACAUAUUUGUACUCCCGAGAGCUUCCAAUAGUCUUUUUCAAAAGCUUCCAGCCCUUCUUUUGCCAGACACAGUAGGUCCCCAUUCCGUAAUCGCCCACAAUUAUAGGACGGGCUAGACCGAACAAAUUACAACGUUCUAAAUAUUAACUGUAACAUGUUUUGUUUUUGUUUUUGGUCAGAGGAGCCAAGCACUUCGAAAACGAAGAAAUGACCCAAGCUCAUUUUAUUAUUUUCUUUUAAAGAUGUUACUCUUAGCAUUAAAACCUGAAUAUUUGCUACUUUAACUUCCUAAUUUUAAUCCUUCAGGCCCAUAUCGCUGGGCAAUCUGGGGGCAGGAGAGGCAGAAAUAGAAACCAAUUUAAAAGCUUUCUGCUGGAUCUCUGAGCGGCUAUCUGGAAAGGCCCUGUUGGGCUGUGUUUAUUGGAAUUUCUAUACACAAUAAAUGAGAUUUUAAAUUUACAUCAAAAGUCACAGAGUGAAAGGAAUUGACUAAUCAUUCCACUUGAAUUUUUGUUAAAGCAAAGCUUUAAUCAGCUUGUUUCCUUCCAGGUUAGUCUUUUUCUCAAUUUCAAAAAUGUUUUCUUCUAAUUCAGCUGUAAGAAUUACAUUUUCUAUAAGCAAGUAGAUAUAAUUUCCAACAGUACUUUUGCAGCAAAGUUUGGAGCGGAGGGCCAGGUAUUUUUAUGAAAGGACACGUAAGUAACUUCAUUUUUCCCUGCCGGCUCUGCAACCAUGCCGCUGGGAGACCCAUCGGCCGGAGUAAAUGACUCAAGAUCACGAACUCUCACACCUCCAAAUAACAGGCCAAUUAAAAAGGAAAGAAAGAAAAGAACGAGCUAGACGGAGACCACAGUGAAAUAUUGUAAAGAGACACCCGCCGUAGGCUAAUUCUAAUACCAGGCCCAUUUUAAAAAUCAGAACUACAUCAUCUCCUCCUUCCUACCCUCCCCCAUUUUUAUUUCCUAGGUGCUCACACCUCACCGGGGGCUCCCAAGCCCCUGCCUUCUUGGUCCGACACAGUCUUGUUUAUAUUUUAUUGUCCAGAUUUUAAGACCCAGUUUUGUCUGCAUUUCUCCCUUCCUCCCACAAACACAACAUCAAAAUGAGAUGGUUUCAAAGCGAAGCGCCGAGCCUGUCGUAAACUCAUUACCUCCAGACGUCUCGCCGGCUCGAUGGCUUUAUGACACCUUGGCUCUUCCUGUUUUCAAAGAGCCCUAGGUAUCGGGUUGGCCGCAGGGGCGGGAGUAAGCAGCACCUUCUGCCGGAUCUGGGCCUUGGCUUUCCCUCCCAGCCCCCCUCUGCUUUUUCUUCAAGUCCCCUCUUUCAUCAGGAUCCCCCCAAACUCUGCCAUUGCCCCCGCCUUCCACCCAGCCCAGGCCACACGGCGCCGCCGCCCCUCAGGCCUGCAAAGGCUGUGCUGGGCCCGAACCCUCACUUACAAUGACCUUCAUUUUAGUCUCUGAGGGCCAAGCUGGGGGCUAAACAGUCACCGAAACUGAGUUGGGGGGGAGGGGGCGUUGAGAAGGGGUGGGGAUAGCUGAGGAGGAGAGACUUGACCAUUUCGAUCUGCUAAGGUCACUUUGGGGCUCUUGAGGGUAGGGCGGAAGUUCCCAGCCUAACUGGCUCAGCCCUCCGGGAGCCAGCCAGCCUGAUGAGCUGGGGGGAGUUGCUCCCGAGUACAGAGUUGGCCUUUCCCUUGUUUAGAGAGGAGAGUGGAUGGCUGGUACUUCAUCAGCAGCGGGAGAGGUGGGGUGCAGUGUGCCAAAGCUCCAGCGAGAGGGUGCCUGGCUUGCGGGGGGGGGGGUGGCGUGGGCUUUGCUGGGCACUGCCGUGAGGCUGACACUGGGCCCAGGGCACAGAGUUCGCCGAGAAGCUGGAAUCAGGCUGGGGGAAAGACAGAGCAGCCAAGGGCCCCCCAGAGGCUGUGCUCUGGCUGCCUCUGCCCACACAAAGGGAGACUCAGAGGCACAUCAGACAGACCUCUCAGGUGUAAGGGCUCCAGAUUUUUAGCAGUGUCUCCCUCCCAGAGAUGGGGGAGAAGUCCUGUGAGGGUGAUAUUUUGCAGAGAAAAAGAGAAAGCAGGCACACAGUGUUCAGGGCCAGCGUCUGGGCUCCAUUUGAUCAGGUCAGCAUUUAUUGGUAGGAAGCGGUAACAUUUACAACUGGUCCUCAGGCAGGAACCCGGAGGGCCUACACCCGCGGCCGCCCACGCGAGGUGAGCCCUCCCCAGGAGAGAGCGGCUCCUCCAGUGCACUGAGAAUAAACCCCCGACCCACCAGAGGCCCUGGGCUCCUCUCUCGGCCUCAUUUCAGGUCUCAGCGGAGGGCCCGCGGGCUCUCUGAGGGAAGAGGACUUCACUAACUGGUGGGCAACCUGGGCGGGCCCCCCACGGUUGUCGCUCUGCCUUCAUUCUCAGAAGUGGGGCGCACUUGGCCCUUGCUUGAGCAGCUCUGGGGGCUAAACUACAGCACUUUUCAGAAACAUAGGGGACAUUUACACAAGAGAGGGCUCUUCAAUCCAGCGUGCACUCACAAAAUAUAGCAUUUCCUAUGGAACCAACGGGUCAGGAAAGGGAGGGAGCGGGAAAAGGCGAAACCCCAAAGCCACUUCGUUUCUCCAACACAUAAGCGAGCAAAAUACAGAGUCCCCCAAAUACCUCACAGAGACCAACCGCACAGUCACUUCUACCUAAAAAAAAAGGGGGGGGGGAAUGUCCGAAUCGCUGGAGAGUUUCUGGAAAUCAAGCACCCACAAACAAACAAAAAAACCAAAAAAACCCGCUGCUUUUGCAGCGCAGAGUGGUCCCGCCAGCGGCGCGCCGGGUCAGUCUCCUUUGGGGCAUUUCUCCUUGCUCAUCUUUUUCAUUUUCAUUCUACGAUUCUGGAACCAGAUUUUGACUUGUCUCUCUGUGAGGUUUAGAAUCCUUGCCACCUCGUAGCGCCGGUCCCGGGUGAGGUACAUGUUAAAGAGGAAUUCCUUCUCCAGCUCUAGCGUCUGGUAUUUGGUGUAGGGACAGCGCUUUUUCCGGGUGGAGCGAGCGUGGAUCCAGUUUGCUGCAGGGUUGUCUACGAAGAGGGGGGUUUGGAGAAGGGGAUCGAGGGCGGAGGGGAGGCAAGGAGAGACGACAGGGUGGGGGAGAGAGGUCGUUAAAUUAAUUUCACCAAGGAUGGCCGCUUUUCACAACUUGGGGGGAAUUAUCAUAAAAAGCCUUAAUGCCCGCGCUCUGUUUACCGUACAAACCGCGCGCCUAGGGUAGGUGGUUAUGGGAAGCUUUUUAUGGAUGCGUGUUGCUCGCCUAGGCUAGGGUAGGCGUCUAGACGUUUUUAUAGGUUAGUAAAACUAUCAGUUUUGCACAUUCGAGCCUUACAGGUUUCAGCAAUAAAUCAGGGGGCAAUUUCUUUUGCACUUACUUGGGUCAAGUUGCUGCUGCGGCGGCUGCGGAUGCUGCUUCUCCUCCUCCUUCAGUGGGCAGCCUGGGCUGGGGUGGUCGCUGCAAGCCGAGGGCUCCGAAGAGCCGCCUGCCCCAGACCCGGACCCGAUCCCUGCCCCGGGCCCGGUUCCCCCAGCCGCAGCUGCUGCCUUGUCCCGUAGGAACGAGUUGCAGGAGAACUCGGGGCCGCCGCUCCCCUGGGACUCCCGGGCCGCGGAGCACUCAGUCCGUUUGGAGGAGGAAGACGUGGAAGUGGAGGAGGAGGUGGAGGUGGCGGCGGCGGCGGCAGGGGUCGGGGCCGCUCCGGUUUCAGGCUUAAUCCCGUAGUGGCGCCCGUUGGGUGGGCCGCUGGGGCCGGGGCUGGGACCAGGGCCCGGGCCACCUCCGCCCCCGCCGCCGCUGCUACCGCCUCCACCCGCGCCGCCCGGAAAACCGGGCAGCGGCUCCAUCCAGGAGCGCAUGUAGCGGCCGGGCUCGGAGGCGGCGGCGGCCAGGGGCGGCGGGGGCACGUACGGGUGGUAGAGGCCGCUCAUCGCCGCCGCCGCCGGGGGCUGAGCGGGCACCGCGGACCACGAGGCGGAGAACACGGCCGAUUUGGGGGCAAAACUACACGAGGCAAACUCGGCGGCAGCGGCGGCCGGGCUGUCGGCCACACCUGCGGGCCUGCCCUGCGCGCCGGGCCCCGGCGGUCCAAAGCGCGCGGCGAACACCUCAUCGCCCUCAUGGCCUAUGAGCGAGUCCACGUAGUAGUUGCUGAGGGUGCCACUGGAGGACAUUUUGAGGCGCCGUGCGCUCCCACCCAAGGUUACACUGCCCGCCGCGGCGCCGCUCCCCGCCGGCGCCCGAGCCGCCGACUAGUUCGCAGGCUGCAGCUUCCACCAUUGGUCGCGCGGCCCACGUGAUCAUAUUUACCAAUACCGGGAGUAAAUCAGUCCGCUAAACUGGGGGCUGCUGUGAUUUAAAAAAAAUAUAUAUAUCAUCAUCAACAUAAACGCCGCAAUUAGAGCGCGUGAGCCCGGUCCGUGCGCCCGGCUCGGUCCGGCCGGGCUCGGACAGCCGGGCGGUGGCUGGAACCACUACGCCCGACCGUGGCCGGAGGAGGCGCUGGGGACUAUUUGUUCGUCUCCUCUAGCCGUCCUCGGUCCUGCAGUUCGAACCGAGACGCUGCCUCCCUGGCGCCUGGACUUCGAGCCACCGGCAGCGUGUCCAGGGCGCACCGAGCGCUUGGCCAGAGCCCGGAGCAGCCCGGGGAGCGCAGGGCGGGAUGAGGCCCAAGCCAGGCCGGCCUUCCGAGGCGGCCCCCUGGCGCCCGAGGGGAGUUUUUUCCUUGUGCCUCUCUCCCUACCCAAACCCGCCCCUCCCUCCACAUACCCACACACGCUCUCUCACAGCUUGUCGUGUUGUUUAAAACAGGUGGAAGACCUCUGUAAUGAUAUUAUGCCUUUCAAUAAAAAUUUUAUGAGGUGUAUUUGAUUAUAGAUUAAUGUGUCCCUAAUAAAACGGACGGAUGGAGCAGCUCGAGGGCCUCCUCCCCCUACCACACUCACACACGCCCGCGCAGCCACACACACCCCCGACGUGAGGCUGAG